AUUGAACGCUGGCGGCAUGCCUUACACAUGCAAGUCGAACGGCAGCACGGGGGCAACCCUGGUGGCGAGUGGCGAACGGGUGAGUAAUACAUCGGAACGUGCCCGGUAGUGGGGGAUAGCUCGGCGAAAGCCGGAUUAAUACCGCAUACGACCCACGGGUGAAAGCGGGGGAUCGCAAAGACCUCGCGCUAGCGGAGCGGCCGGAUGUCAGAUUAGGUUGUUGGGUGGGGUAAAGGCCUACCAAGCCGACGAUCUGUAGCUGGUCUGAGAGGACGACCAGCCACACUGGGACUGAGACACGGCCCAGACUCCUACGGGAGGCAGCAGUGGGGAAUUUUGGACAAUGGGCGCAAGCCUGAUCCAGCCAU
rnacentral:rRNA from 1 species